rnacentral:rRNA from 1 species
GGCGUGCUUACCAUGCAAGUCCAACGAUGAAGCCCAGCUUGCUGGGUGGAUUAGUGGCGAACGGGUGAGUAACACGUGAGUAACCUGCCCUUGACUCUGGGAUAAGCCUGGGAAACUGGGUCUAAUACUGGAUAUGACUUCUCACCGCAUGGUGGGGGGUGGAAAGAUUUAUUGGUCUUGGAUGGACUCGCGGCCUAUCAGCUUGUUGGUGAGGUAAUGGCUCACCAAGGCGACGACGGGUAGCCGGCCUGAGAGGGUGACCGGCCACACUGGGACUGAGACACGGCCCAGACUCCUACGGGAGGCAGCAGUGGGGAAUAUUGCACAAUGGGCGCAAGCCUGAUGCAGCGACGCCGCGUGAGGGAUGACGGCCUUCGGGUUGUAAACCUCUUUCAGUAGGGAAGAAGCGAAAGUGACGGUACCUGCAGAAGAAGCGCCGGCUAACUACGUGCCAGCAGCCGCGGUAAU